CAGCGCCGCGGUAAUACGAAGGGGGCUAGCGUUGUUCGGAAUUACUGGGCGUAAAGCGCACGUAGGCGGAUAUUUAAGUCAGGGGUGAAAUCCCGCAGCUCAACUGCGGAACUGCCUUUGAUACUGGGUAUCUUGAGUAUGGAAGAGGUUAGUGGAAUUGCGAGUGUAGAGGUGAAAUUCGUAGAUAUUCGCAGGAACACCAGUGGCGAAGGCGACUGACUGGACAAGUAUUGACGCUGAGGUGCGAAAGCGUGGGGAGCAAACAGGAUUAGAUACCCCUGUAGUCCCUGUCUCUUAUACA
rnacentral:rRNA from 1 species